rnacentral:rRNA from 1 species
AGUGAACGCUGGCGGUAGGCCUAACACAUGCAAGUCGAACGGCCGCACAGUAAGAGCUUGCUCUUACGGGUGGCGAGUGGCGGGCGGGUGAGGAAUACAUCGGAAUCUACUUUUUCGUGGGGGAUAACGUAGGGAAACUUACGCUACUACCGCAUACGACCUACGGGUGAAAGCAGGGGAUCUUCGGACCUUGCGCGAUUGAAUGAGCCGAUGUCGGAUUAGCUAGUUGGCGGGGUAAAGGCCCACCAAGGCGACGAUCCGUAGCCGGUCUGAGAGGAUGAUCAGCCACACUGGAACUGAGACACGGUCCAGACUCCUACGGGAGGCAGCAGUGGGGAAUAUUGGACAAUGGGCGAAAGCCUGAUCCAGCCAUACCGCGUGGGUGAAGAAGGCCUUCGGGUUGUAAAGCCCUGUUGUUGGGAAAGAAAAGCAGCAGGUGAAUACCCCGCUGUUCUGACGGUACCCAAAGAAUAAGCACCGGCUAACUUCGUG